CCUACGGGUGGCAGCAGUGAGGAAUAUUGGUCAAUGGGCGCGAGCCUGAACCAGCCACGUAGCGUGAAGGAUGACUGCCCUACGGGUUGUAAACUUCUUUUAUAAAGGAAUAAAGUGAGGCACGUGUGUCUUUUUGUAUGUCCUUUAUGAAUACGGCUCGGCUAACUCCGUGCCAUCAGCCGCGGUAAUACGGAGGAUCCGAGCGUUAUCCGGAUUUAUUGGGUUUAAAGGGAGCGUAGAUGGGUGGUUAAGUCAGUUGUGAAAGGUUGCGGCUCAACCGUAAAAUUGCAAUUGAUACUGGAAGUCUGGAGUACAGGUGAGGUAAGCGGAAUUCGUGGUGUAGCGGUGAAAUGCUUAGAUAUCACGAAGAACUCCGAUUGCGAAGGCAGCUUACUAAACUGCCACUGACAUUGAUGCUCGAAAGUGUGGGUAGCAAACAGGAUUAGAUACCCUAGUAGUC
rnacentral:rRNA from 1 species